rnacentral:rRNA from 1 species
GGUGAGUAAUGCCUAGGAAUCUGCCUGGUAGUGGGGGACAACGUNUCGAAAGGAACGCUAAUACCGCAUACGUCCUAAGGGAGAAAGCAGGGGACCUUCGGGCCUUGCGCUAUCAGAUGAGCCUAGGUCGGAUUAGCUUGUUGGUGAGGUAAUGGCUCACCAAGGCGACGAUCCGUAACUGGUCUGAGAGGAUGAUCAGUCACACUGGAACUGAGACACGGUCCAGACUCCUACGGGAGGCAGCAGUGGGGAAUAUUGGACAAUGGGCGAAAGCCUGAUCCAGCCAUGCCGCGUGUGUGAAGAAGGCCUUCGGAUUGUAAAGCACUUUAAGUUGGGAGGAAGGGUUGUAGAUUAAUACUCUGCAAUUUUGACGUUACCGACAGAAUAAGCACCGGCUAACUCUGUGCCAGCAGCCGCGGUAAUACAGAGGGUGCAAGCGUUAAUCGGAAUUACUGGGCAUAAAGCGCGCGUAGGUGGUUUGUUAAGUUGGAUGUGAAAGCCCCGGGCUCAACCUGGGAACUGCAUCCAAAACUGGCAAGCUAGAGUACGGUAGAGGGUGGUGGAAUUUCCUGUGUAGCGGUGAAAUGCGUAGAUAUAGGAAGGAACACCAGUGGCGAAGGCGACCACCUGGACUGAUACUGACACUGAGGUGCGAAAGCGUGGGGAGCAAACAGGAUUAGAUACCCUGGUAGUCCACGCCGUAAACGAUGUCAACUAGCCGUUGGAAUCCUUGAGAUUUUAGUGGCGCAGCUAACGCAUUAAGUUGACCGCCUGGGGAGUACGGCCGCAAGGUUAAAACUCAAAUGAAUUGACGGGGGCCCGCACAAGCGGUGG